GGGGUGGGGGCGCUGGACGCAGACCACGUUAGAACCUCGGCUCCUGGAGUAGCAGAACCUCGGCUUCAAUGGGACCCUCAUUUCAUAAAUGAAGAAACUGAGAUUCAAAGAGGGGAACUACCGAAGGUUACAGAGCGAGUUCGUGGGUAAGCAUGAUGGGGAAACUGAGCCUCACAUGUAUGAAUUCCAGCAUAUAAGCAACAGACUCCAGAUUUGGACAUGUAUAUCUUAUUCCAGGCUUCCCAGAUGACCACCAAGGUGGAAGGGAUGAUGAUGUCCAGGCAGAAGGGAGCUAGGCCGGCCCAGGCUUUUCCUCUAGGCACAGCGGACUCCAGGUUCAGCCUUCCCGGAUGAGGUGCAGAGUGGUUGGUGACUUCUCCUGGGCCAUGAGGACAGUCAGUUAAAGUCCUGGCUACCUAUCCCUGAGCCCACAUAUCCUAUGGCUUCACGGAAGGUCCCACCUCCCAAGAAGGGGCUAGUGGCAGGGAAGUUGAGAAACAGAGAGACGGAAAGGUGGCAUAAAACCAAAGAGGGGGACACUGGAGAGGAGCCAGCAAGAGGCCAGGCUGGGGAUGUCAGAGAAGAGGAAAACAGAGAUGAAGCCACAGGCCUGGGGACAAGGGAAGAUGAGAGACAGGAGAUGGAACCCCUUCCCAGACCUGGUGAUGAGGAGGAGGCUCUGAGCAGUCCUAGCCAGGCCCCAGAGAAGCCAUUCCCUUCCUUUGACAGAUGCCACCUGUGUACGCCCCUGCCCGCGAAGAAGUUAACAAAUCACCACCACCACCCUGCCCUGGCCUGGUUGCUGUUGACGUUCAGUCUCCAGGAUGCAUCAUUUUCUUGGAUUUUAAUAGAUAAUUGCCUCGGCCAGACCCUGCAGAGCAAAUUGCCAGCAAAUGUUCAUUGAACACUUUAAAAAUCGAGGGGAAGAGGAGAGGGCUUGGAGGCAGCAUGUGGGGAGAGGUCAACCUCUAAAGUGCCAGCUCUCCAGAAAUGCAGCCGGAAUGAAGGUUUGAAGGGAUGGUAGUGAAUGGAGCACUCCAGGCAGUGUGUGUGCUGAAUCUCAGGGCGGUUUUAGGAGCACUUCAAAGGCCUUUUUGACCAAGAUAUUCACGUUGGCCUGAGGCUUUAUUUGAGGAGCCUGGCAGUCCUAUAAGGGGAAACCCACCUAUUACUUCAAGCAAAGCUGAUGCAGAGAGAUGAGCCAAUUGAGCAGGAGACAAUGUAAGCAGCUGUGGGGGUGUCGAGUACUCCCUCCUGCCUGUGGGAGCUGCACCGUGGAGUCUAGCUUGUCACCCUCCGGAGGCAGAGCCCCUCCUCCCUGCCUCCUCUUGGUCUAGAUGGACAGCCAUGGCAGCGGAGGCUGCAGAGCUGAGCAGGUGAUACUGGGCAGCGACCCUGCUGCGGGCAGCGUCCACACCCCACAGCUCUUUACUGCAUUUAUUUAACAAGCGACAUUGAGCCAGCAAUCUCUGCUGAAAAGUGCUCAGCCCUGG
rnacentral:lncRNA from 1 species